rnacentral:rRNA from 1 species
AUACGGAGGGUGCAAGCGUUGUUCGGAAUCACUGGGCGUAAAGGGCGCGCAGGCGGUUUGAUUAGUCAGAUGUGAAAGCCCACGGCUUAACCGUGGAAGUGCAUUUGAAACUGUCAGACUUGAGUAUCAGAGGGGAAAGUGGAAUUCCCGGUGUAGAGGUGAAAUUCGUAGAUAUCGGGAGGAAUACCGGUGGCGAAGGCGACUUUCUGGCUGAAUACUGACGCUGAGGCGCUAAAGCGUGGGGAGCAAACAGGAUUAGAUACCCCAGUAGUCC